AUAAAGUAAUAUUUGGUGGGUAAGGCCCAUCAGCUUUACCCUUUUUUUUUAUUAUUAGUUUUCCUUUUGAUCAUCAAUCUUUUGCUUCCUCUAGUGUUCAGCAAAUAUCUUUCUGUCAUUUGGAGUGUUUUCCUUCUCUGUUUUUCGUACUCUGCAACGUUAAUCCCGAGAACAUAUCAAGUGAUUCAUUUUGUCUCCUGUUUUUUUGUAAAUUGCAAUGGAUCCGAAGCGGACAAGAGAAGGGGAAGGCUCGGCUUCUUCUACUCCUGGCUGGAAUCAUGAUGUGUUCUUAAGUUUUAGAGGCGAAGACACACGCAAGAGUUUCACCGAUCAUCUCUACACUGCUUUAGUUCAAAGAGGAAUCAACACCUUCAGAGACGACAACGAGCUCAAGAGAGGAGAAGAUAUCGCCUCAGAGCUAUUGAAAUCAGUAGAGAAAUCGAGGAUUUCCAUCAUCGUCUUUUCUAGGAAUUAUGCUUCUUCCAGGUGGUGCCUCGAUGAGCUGGUCAAGAUAAUGGAGUGCAGAGAGACGAUCGGCCAAACGGUUCUACCUGUUUUCUAUGAUAUUGAUCCAUCUGAUGUUCGGAAACAGAGUGGGAUCUUCGGAGAAGUAUUUGCGAGGCAAGAAAAGCGUUCCAAACUCGAGAUGGAGAAGAUGGACAGGUGGAGGACAGCUCUCAAAGAAGCAGGGAGUUUGUCAGGGUGGGAUGUACGAAAUGGAUAUGAGUCAAAAUUUAUCCAAAGUAUUGUUGACAAGGUUUUGAGUAGCUUGAAUCAACCACAUUUUCAUGUUGCCCAGUAUCAAGUUGGAUUAGAAACCCGCUUGGAGAAAAUGAAAUCACUGUUAAAUGUCAGAUCAGAUGAUAUUCGCAUCGUAGGGAUAUGUGGCAUGGGGGGCAUCGGUAAGACCACCAUUGCCAAGGCUGUCUUUAACAUAUUCUUACGCAGAUUUGAAGGUUGCAGCUUUCUUGCAAAUGUUAGAGAACUGUCAGGACAACCUAAUGGUUUAAUUCAUUUACAAGAACAACUUCUUUCUGAUAUCCUAAUGGUAGGAAACAUGAAAAUAACCAGUGUAGAUAGAGGUGUCAAUAUGAUCAGUGAAAAACUAUUCUCCAAAAGGGUUCUUGUUGUUCUUGAUGAUGUGGAUCAAUUGACCCAAUUAAAUGCAUUGGCUGGAAGGCGUAGUUGUUUUGGUUUGGGAAGUAGAAUCAUCAUAACAACCAGGGAUGUGCAUUUGUUAAAUAAUGUCAAGGUUGAUGAAAUAUAUAAGAUCACGGAAUUGAAUACAGAGGAAUCUCUUAAGCUCUUUAGUUGGCAUGCCUUCGGAAAUGACCAUCCGACAAAUGAUUAUUUGGAGCUUUCAAAGAGUAUAGUUGGUUAUGUCAAUGGACUUCCUUUAGCUCUUAAGGUUUUGGGUUCUUUUCUAGUUGAUAAAAGUAUAAUUGAAUUCAAGAGUGCAGUAGAGAAAUUGAAAAGAAUUCCUAAUGAUGAAAUUCAAAGGAUACUUAGAAUAAGUUUUGAUGGACUACAUGAUGAUUUGGAGAAAGAUAUGUUCCUUGAUAUUGCAUGUUUCUUUAUUGGGAUGGACAAAGACCAUGUCAUUGGAAUACUGGACAGUUGCGAUUUCUUCCCAGAAAUUGGCAUUAGUGUUCUCAUCCGUAGGUCUCUCAUAACAAUCAAUGAAAAGAAUCAGGUGAUGAUGCAUGAUUUACUUCGAGAUAUGGGAAGGGAAAUUGUUCGUGAAGAAUCUCCAAAGGAGCCUGGAGAACGCAGUAGAUUGUGGUUUCAUGAUGACGCCUACAAUGUGCUAACAAAACAUAAGGGAACAAUGACUGUUGAAGGCCUUACUCUAAACACGGCUGAAAUUAAAGGAGCAGAUCAUAUCAGUAUUGAAGCCUUUACAAAGAUGCAAAGGCUAAGACUACUCCAAAUCAAUCAUGUGCACCUUACUGGAAACUACCAGCACUUUUCAAAGGAGUUGAGAUGGCUAUGUUGGUACGGUUUCCCUUUGAUCUCCAUACCUUCUAACUUUCAUCUUGAGAACCUUGUUAUACUUGACUUGCAAUAUAGCAACAUCAAAUAUCUUUGGAAGGGAAUCAAGUUGCUCAAGAAAUUGAAAGUUCUGAAUCUUAGUCAUUCCCAUGGCCUAACCCAAAUUUCUGACUUGUCUGGACUCACCAUGCUUGAGAAAUUGGUAUUUGAAGAUUGUAGAAGUUUGGUUGGCGUUCACCAUUCCGUUGGACAACUUGAGAGACUUGUUUUUUUAAGUUUAAAAGAUUGUGGAAACCUGAGGAAUCUACCAAACAGCAUAUGUGAGUUGAAAUCUCUUGAAAAUCUCAUUCUUUGUGGUUGCUUAAAACUUGAAAAGUUGCCAGAAGAAUUUGGAAAUAUGAGAUGUUUAAGGGAGCUUAUUGUUGAUGACACUGCAAUACAAGAACUCCCCCUUUCGAUUGGACGCCUGAAGAAUCUCAGAUGCUUAUCUUUAAAUGGAUGUAAGAGAUCAACCUCUAAAGAUUGGAAUCCAUUCAUUUGGUUUUGGAAUUCAUCACCAAGAAAAAAUCCUGAUUCCACCACUCUAUUACCAACUUCUGUCUUGGGUUUAUCCUCUUUAACAACACUAAAUAUGAGAAAUUGCAAUUUGUUGGAAGGUAAAAUUCCUAGUGAGAUCGGGAGUAUGUGCUCAUUGCAACAUUUGGAUAUGAGUGAUAACAAGUUUCUUAGCCUACCAACUAGUAUCAGUCGCCUUUCUCAACUCAAGCGCCUUGAGUUGCGAAAUUGCACAGGGCUUCAAUUUCUUCCAGAACUGCCAUCAUGUUUAGAGACCUUGUAUGCAAGUGGAUGUGAAUCAAUGGAAAGAUUAGUCAGUCCUGGACACUCAUCUUCCUUACAAGAGCUGGUUUUAAGUGAAACUUUUUGGUGUAACCAUCCUGGCAACAUUAGCCACCUUACUCAGCUCAAAUAUCUUGGCUUGGAAAAUUGCACGAGGCUCAAAUCGCUUCCAGAACUUCCAUCAAGUUUAGAGCAAAUAGAAGCAGGUGGUUGCACAUCAUUGGAACGAUUAUCAAAUUUUGAAAGCUUAUCCUCAUUGGCCAGGUUGAAUAUAAACAACAGCAAUAUUCGUACCCUACCAGCUUGCCUUGGUCGGUGUUCUCAGCUCUGGUCCCUUAACGUAAAUGAUUGCUCAAGGCUUCAAGUGCUCCUAGAGCUUCCAUCAAGUUUAAAGUAUUUAUAUGCAGGGGAUUGCACAUUGAUGGAGAGAUUGCCAAAUGUCUCCAACUGUCCUGAGUUGAACCAUUUAUACAUUGAUAAUUGCCACAUGCUAGCUGAAAUUCGAGGCUUUGAGAAUUUGAAGUUCGUACAAACCAUUUAUAUGAAGGGAUGCAACAAUCUGACAAAUAAUUUUAAGAAGAGUCUCAUCCAGGGAUUGUGUGGCCAUGAUAACUUUAACAUAUUUGUUCCUGGAAGCAAGGUUCCGGAUUGGUUCUACCAUCGGAGUAUGGGAUCUUCAAUAUUUUUUGAGGUUCCUCCGCUUCUAGAUAGGAAGAUCCAAGGUUUAACUGUAUGUGCUGUUUGGACAGGCAUUGCAGAAUCAAAGAUCUUUAUGGCAGAAAAUUCUCCUAUUAUUAUUAUUCAUAAUAAAACAAAGGGUCAUGAACAAGUCCGCUCUAUUUAUCCGGAGAAUCAGGCCUUUUGUGAAGAUGAGUUGUGGGUGGCCCAUAUACCACAUACUGACUUGAAAUAUCAGUUAGAGCAAGGGAAUCAAAUAGAAGUUUCAAUAGAAAUAAAGAAACGACACCAAGUGAAUGAGUGUGGAGUCGAUAUAGUGUACGAGCAAGAUGAGAAAUGUUCUCAGCCAUCAGACAGUGAAGCAGUGAUUGGAUGUAGUAGCAGCUCUCAUUUGUAGGCUGUUGAUGAUGUUAUCCACGGAGAUAACUAAUUCAGGUGUUACAAUUGGCUGAGGACUAAGCUUAGUCAAGACAUCUGAAGAUUCGACAGAGUUACUUCAAAUCUUCUCCUUGAAUUUUACAGAAACCAAGUUGAUUGAUCAUGCUUCACAGCUGACCGCCGUGUAAUCUACGUGUGAAGUCGCCAAAGAGGGAUCAACGAGCUUAGGAAAGGAGAAGAUAUCACCUUAGAGAUUCUGAAAGCAAUUGAAAAAUUAAGGAUUUUUAUCAUUGUUUUUUCCAGGAACUAUGCUUCUUCUAGGUGGUGCCUCGAUGAGCUCGUCAAUUUAAUCGAGUGCAGAGAGCUGAUCUGCCAAACGGUUCUGCCUGAUUUCUAUGAUGUUGAUCCUUCAGAUGUUCAGAAACAUAGUGGGGUCUUUGGGGAAGCAUUUGAGAAGCAAGAAGAGCGUUUCAAGGUGGAGAUGAGGUGGUGGAAAGCUGGAGGAGAGCUCU